rnacentral:lncRNA from 1 species
CUACAGAAAUAUUCUAGACAUUAUGAACAAAAGUAUCAAAGAAUACAAAUAUAAUUGUUAAAAGUAUUCAAAACAAGUUAUUAUUGCAUAAACAAAUACACAGAAGGGUGGAAGCUAAAAUUAGAUUUCAUAUAAGAUAAGUGACUGAACCAUGAAAGCAGACCCAUAUUAGAGAUCUACUCCCACAUAGAAAGUAUCUAACAAAGAAUAAUUCUCAGAGAAAGAAAAAAGGACAAAAGUACAAAAGGAAGAAGAUAAAGAGAGAUUCUGUAAGAGGGAGGGGCACUAUAAUGUCGUUUUGGUUUCUUAUAACUUUGUUUGAGAUUUG